AAUGGCGGACGGGUGAGUAAUGUCUGGGAAACUGCCUGAUGGAGGGGGAUAACUACUGGAAACGGUAGCUAAUACCGCAUACCAUCAGAUGUGCCCAGAGGGGAUUAGCUUGUGGGUGGGGUAACGGCUCACCAAGGCGACGAUCCCUAGCUGGUCUAAGAGGAUGACAAGCCACACGGGAACUGAGACACGGUCCAGACUCCUACGGGAGGUAGCAGUGGGGAAUAUUGCACAAUGGGCGCAAGCCUAAGGCAGCCAGGCCGCGUGUAGGAAGAAGGCCUGCGGGUGGGAAAGUACUUUCAGCGGGGAGGCGUUACCCGCAGAAGAAUCACCGGCUAACUCCGUGCCAGCAGCCGCGGUAAUUC
rnacentral:rRNA from 1 species